UAUACUGCAGAGGUCAUUAUUAUCAACACAAUUCGAACACUUUGUUGAAUCUCCGUCUGACGUUUCAAAAUCGGACAAUAAUUCCGAAGAAAUAUAUUAUUACGGUCACGAUAUAAAAGAGUUGAACCAGCUAAAAAAUAUGUACAAAAA
rnacentral:misc_RNA from 1 species